UACAGAGGGUGCAAGCGUUAAUCGGAGUUACUGGGCGUAAAGAGCACGUAGGCGGUUGAAUAAGUCAGUUGUGAAAUCCCUGGGCUUAACCUGGGAACUGCAAUUGAGACUGUAUGACUAGAGUCGAAGAGAGGGAAGCGGAAUUUCCGGUGUAGCGGUGAAAUGCGUAGAUAUCGGAAGGAACAUCUGUGGCGAAGGCGGCUUCCUGGCUUCAGACUGACGCUGAGGUGCGAAAGCGUGGGUAGCGAACAGG
rnacentral:rRNA from 1 species